UACGAGUGCCCCGAGCGUUAUCCGGAAUCAUUGGGCGUAAAGGGUGUGUAGGUGGCCAUGUUAGUCAGUUGUUAAAACCCGGGGCUCAACUCCGGAACCGCGACUGAAACGGCAUGGCUAGAGGAUGGCAGGGAUGUAUGGAACUCAUGGAGUAGGGGUGAAAUCCGUUGAUAUCAUGGGGAACACCAAAAGCGAAGGCAGUACAUUGGGCCACUCCUGACACUGAAACACGAAAGCGUGGGUAGCGAAUGGG
rnacentral:rRNA from 1 species